CUGGUGUAGCGGUGGAAUGCGCAGAUAUCAGGAGGAACACCGAUGGCGAAGGCAGAUCUCUGGGCCGUAACUGACGCUGAGGAGCGAAAGGGUGGGGAGCAAACAGGCUUAGAUACCCUGGUAGUCCACCCCGUAAACGUUGGGAACUAGUUGUGGGGUCCAUUCCACGGAUUCCGUGACGCAGCUAACGCAUUAAGUUCCCCGCCUGGGGAGUACGGCCGCAAGGCUAAAACUCAAAGGAAUUGACGGGGACCCGCACAAGCGGCGGAGCAUGCGGAUUAAUUCGAUGCAACGCGAAGAACCUUACCAAGGCUUGACAUAUACGAGAACGGGCCAGAAAUGGUCAACUCUUUGGACACUCGUAAACAGGUGGUGCAUGGUUGUCGUCAGCUCGUGUCGUGAGAUGUUGGGUUAAGUCCCGCAACGAGCGCAACCCUCGUUCUAUGUUGCCAGCACGUAAUGGUGGGAACUCAUGGGAUACUGCCGGGGUCAACUCGGAGGAAGGUGGGGAUGACGUCAAAUCAUCAUGCCCCUUAUGUCUUGGGCUUCACGCAUGCUACAAUGGCCGGUACAAAGGGCUGCAAUACCGCGAGGUGGAGCGAAUCCCAAAAAGCCGGUCCCAGUUCGGAUUGAGGUCUGCAACUCGACCUCAUGAAGUCGGAGUCGCUAGUAAUCGCAGAUCAGCAACGCUGCGGUGAAUACGUUCCCGGGUCUUGUACACACCGCCCGUCAAGUCAUGAAAGUCGGUAACACCUGAAGCCGGUGGCCUAACCCUUGUGGAGGGAGCCGUCGAAGGUGGGAUCGGUAAUUAGGACU
rnacentral:rRNA from 1 species